rnacentral:tRNA from 1 species
GGAGUGGUAGCUGAGAUGGUCUAGCGGCGGACUGAAAACCCGCAUACGGAGAUUCGAGCGCUCCCCACUCCACCA